UACGUAGGGGCUAGCGUUGUCCGGAAUCAUUGGGCGUAAAGCGCGUGUAGGCGGCCCGGUAAGUCCGCUGUGAAAGUCGGGGCUCAACCCUCGGAUGCCGGUGGAUACUGUCGGGCUAGAGUGCGGAAGAGGCGAGUGGAAUUCUGGUGUAGCGGUGAAAUGCGCAGAUAUCAGGAGGAACACCAAUUGCGAAGGCAGCUCGCUGGGACGUGACUG
rnacentral:rRNA from 1 species